rnacentral:rRNA from 1 species
GAUUGACCUCGGAUCAGGUAGGAGUACCCGCUGAACUUAA